CCUACGGGAGGCAGCAGUGGGGAAUAUUGCACAAUGGGGGAAACCCUGAUGCAGCGACGCCGCGUGAGUGAAGAAGUAAUUCUUUAUGUAAAGCUCUAUCAGCAGGGAAGAAAAUGACGGUACCUGAGUAAGAAGCCCCGUCUAACUACGUCCCAGCAGCCGCGGUAAUACGUAGGGGGCAAGCGUUAUCCGGAUUUACUGGGUGUAAAGGGAGCGUAGACGGCAGUGCAAGUCUGGAGUGAAAGGCGGGGGCUCAACCCCAGGACUGCUCUGGAAACUGUACGGCUGGAGUGCAGGAGAGGUAAGUGGAAUUCCUAGUGUAGCGGUGAAAUGCGUAGAUAUUAGGAGGAACACCAGUGGCGAAGGCGGCUUACUGGACUGUAACUGACGUUGAGGCUCGAAAGCGUGGGGAGCAAACAGGAUUAGAUACCCGGGUAGUC
rnacentral:rRNA from 1 species